CUCUUCUCAUGUGUCUUAGAAGCCAUGCACACACUUUAAGCCCUGCAGCCUGGCAGCUCACUGGCCAGCUUCCUUGCUAGACCUUUGCCUGGCUGUUAACUUCUUUCAAGAGCUAUGAAAGCAGCCUCCCUCUACAGCUCCACUUACAGUAGUGGAAGGAGGUGAAGAGAAAAGCCUCUGGCUAUGUUUCCAAUCUGGACAAUACUUGUUUAGUAGUUAAAGUUUUUUGGUUUUAUUGUUGUUCUUUAAUCCAUCUGCGUUUGAUCCUAAAGAAGGGUUCUCCACUAGCCAAGUACAUCUUCUAUAUUAAGAAGUUAAAACUAUGGACAAUUGUGGCUGAUCUGAGAAUACUGCUUCCCCUUCCGUAUUUUUGAGACAGGGUCUCUCUAAAUAUAACCCUGGCUGUUUUGGAACUCACUGUAUAGAGCAGGCUGGCCUGGAACUCACAAAGAUCCACCUGUAUCUGGCUCCUGAGUGCUGGGAUUGGAGGUUAAAGGCAUGCACUGCCAUGCCUGGCCUCUGCCUUCCUUUAACAUGGAUGGAUUUGGGCGUACUAAUCUGUUAUGUGAAGGUAGAUGCUGAGUGUAAAUUGUCUGCUAUUCUUAGCUAAUAUAUAAAGUAAUUUUAGCCUAAUUAUUAAAAAUGUCAAGAAUUUUGGUUUGGUAUUGUCUAGAAAUGCAGCAUUCCAUACCAUAGCAUACAGUCUAUAGAUUCAUCCUAGCUAAUCUUAAUAUUCCUGACAGCAGACACCUGGAGAGUCAUGGGUAAAAUAGUACAUGUGACCAUGAGAUUAAUUUUUGUUCAAUGGAAAUAUUCUGGAAUUAACGGUGAUGAUUACACCUUUUUUCUUUUUUGUUUUUCUGUGAAAAGACAGGGUCUCUACAUAGCUCUGCAUGCCCCCACCCCCUGCCUCAUGGGGUUACAUGCCCUGUAACACUGGUUUACUGUUUUUAAAAAACAAUUAUUUUUGGGCUGGAGAGAUGGUUCAGCAGUUAAAAAGAAUUGGCUGUUCUUCCAGAGGAUUCAGGUUCAACUCCCAGAACCCACAUGGCAGCUCACAGCUGUCUGUAACUCCAGUUCCAGGGGAUCCAACACCUUCAUAUAGACAUACAACGCAGUCAGAACACCAAUGUACAUAAAAUAAAUUUUUAAAAAGUAUUUUUAUUUUUUAAAAUCAGCACAUAAUGUGUAAUGUAUAACAUUUUCAAACAAAGUGUGUAUUUGUGGUUCUUUCUUCCCAUCGCCCCCAGUGCCCUGCUAUCCCUGUUACAUCCAGCCCCCCUUUUAAAGGCAUUGUCUCAGCUAGCUUAGGCUGGCCUCAAAGUUACUAUUUCCCCAAGUAUGGCCUUGAACUUCUGGUCUUCCUGCCUCCAUCUCCUGAGUGUUGAGGUUCCAGGUUUAUGGGAUUGGGAUGCCUAGAGAAGGACUUCAUGCAUGUUAGACAAGCCCCUGAGGACCAACAGAGGCACAUCUGCAGCCUAGUGACUGCACAUGAACAAAUACAAUGACAACUACCAAACACUCACUUCAGUGAGUUUAAACUAUAUUAGUUUCAAAAUUUAAAGGGUUUUAAUAAAUACUGCUACCAUGGAGAGGCUUUUGAACAUGUGGCCUGCUGAUGAUGCUCAGCAGCCUUCUCUUUAACAUGAGAAAUCUCUUUAUGAUUUGCAAAAAGCUCCAAGGUGCCCUCCUCCCAGCUUUCCAGUGUUUUUUUUUUUUCUUGUGUGUGUGCUUCAGGUGAAUGCUCCCAUGUGGGAAGGCAGGAGAGCUUUUGAGCUAAGUAGACACUCACAGCAAGGAUGAGAAGCCUAAUGGUUGCUUAUGUUGGCUGUAGAGUGACAUACCUAAAAGGAGGAAGCAUAUUUCCCCAGUGACUUCAUGCAGUGAACUGGGUUUGCUUCUGAGAGUGGGAAGGAGGUGGGAGUGAGUGUCUGCUGAGGUGUCAGAGCCCCUUCUUAGUUUUGAGAUGGCUGGUGAGGUGCGCAUGGGCAUUUAGGUUGGUGCUAAUGACUAUUUCUACCUUCGUUGUAGUAACCACAGCAGACAUUUUAUCAUUUCUCUGUAAGACCCCUCCAAUUUUACCCCUUUUUUCUUUGCCAUUGUGUAGAAUUUGACAGCAGUAUCAAGAGCUGAGGAGAAAGAGAAGAUGGAAAGGAGUCUAGCAACUAAAAACUGUCAUAGCGUUCUCUGUGAAGUGACCUUUCCCUGUUGGUGGCUCAGUUUAUUUAGGAGAUGAAGAUAAUGAGGCCUAUGACAGUUUCAUCAUGUCAUGCUUGAGUGUAUCAGAAUGUUUUCUCCCUUUACUUUUUAUGUCACAGUCUGCGUCCCAUGUUCAGCAUUGACCCGCAUGGCCAUCAUCAGUCCUGAAAGGACCUCCUUGCGUAGUCUGGAACUUACUGUGGAGCGCAGGUCAGUCUCAGCCUCCUGGUGCUGGAUUACUGGAUGCACCACUGUGCUUGACUUCUUACCAAGUUUUGAGCUCAGCCCAAGUCACUCCUUUCAGUUGCCUUACUCUACCUCAUUUGGUAGCCUUCAUCACAUGUCUUCCUUGGCAACAUCUGCACCAAAAUAAAGUCUUGCGUCCAUGGUCA